UACGGAGGGGGCUAGCGUUGUUCGGAAUUACUGGGCGUAAAGCGCACGUAGGCGGCGAUUUAAGUCAGAGGUGAAAGCCCGGGGCUCAACCCCGGAAUAGCCUUUAAGACUGCAUCGCUUGAACGUCGGAGAGGUGAGUGGAAUUCCGAGUGUAGAGGUGAAAUUCGUAGAUAUUCGGAAGAACACCAGUGGCGAAGGCGGCUCACUGGACGACUGUUGACGCUGAGGUGCGAAAGCUAGGGGAGCAAACGGG
rnacentral:rRNA from 1 species